UGGGGAAUUUUUCCGCAAUGGGCGAAAGCCUGACGGAGCAAUGCCGCGUGGAGGUGGAAGGCCUACGGGUCGUCAACUUCUUUUCUCGGAGAAGAAACAAUGACGGUAUCUGAGGAAUAAGCAUCGGUUAACUCUGUGCCAG
rnacentral:rRNA from 1 species